rnacentral:rRNA from 1 species
GCUACUGCCAUCAGAGUUCGAUUAAGCCAUGUUAGUCGAGGGUGCUUCUUCUUCGGAAGAUGUAACCCGGCGGACGGCUCAGUAACACGUGGAUAACUUGCCCUUGGGUCCGGGAUAACCCCUGAGAAAUUGGGGACAAUACCGGAUAGGGCAUCGAUAGCUGGAAUGCGCGAUGUCCAAAAGCUGAGGCGCCCAAGGAUAGGUCUGCGGCCGAUUAGGUUGUUGUUGAUGUAAUGGAUCAACAAGCCUGCAAUCGGUACGGGUUGUGAGAGCAAGAGCCCGGAGAUGGGUUCUGAGAAAAGAACCCAGGUCCUACGGGACGCAUCAGGCGCGAAAACUUUACAAUGUGCGAAAGCACGAUAAGGGAACUCUGAGUGCCUCCUAUGGAGGCUGUUCAGGUGUCUAAAAAGCACUUGAAGUAAGGGCUGGGUAAGACCGGUGCCAGCCGCCGCGGUAACACCGGCAGCCCAAGUGGUAGCCACGAUUAUUGGGUCUAAAGCGUCCGUAGCCGGCCAGGUAAGUUCUUUGGGAAAUUUAACCGCUCAACGGUUAAGCUUUCAGGGAAUACUGCUUGGCUUGGGACCGGGAGAGGUCAGAGGUACUUCAAGGGUAGGGGUGAAAUCCGUUAAUCCUUGAGGGACCACCAGUAGCGAAGGCGUCUGACCAGACCGGGUCCGACGGUGAGGGACGAAGGCUAGGGUCGCGAACCGGAUUAGAUACCCGGGUAGUCCUAGCUGUAAACGAUGCGGGCCAGGUGUUGGCAUUACUGCGAGUGAUGUCAGUGCCGAAGGGAAGCC